ACUCAAAGGAAUAGACGGGGGCCCGCACAAGCAGCGGAGCGUGCGGUUUAAUUCGAUGCGACGCGAAGAACCUUACCCAGACUUGACAUGCAGGUGGUACCGAUCCGAAAGGUGAGGGACCCGCAAGGGAGCCUGUACAGGUGUUGCACGGCUGUCGUCAGCUCGUGUCGUGAGAUGUUGGGUUAAGUCCCGCAACGAGCGCAACCCUCGCGGCCUGUUGUACCACUCAGGCCGGACUGCCGAGAGAAACUCGGAGGAAGGUGGGGAUGACGUCAAGUCAGCGUGGCCUUUACGUCUGGGGCUACACGCACGCUACAAUGACCGGUCACAGCGGGUUGCGACACGGCGACGUGAAGCUAAUCCCUUAAAACCGGCCUCAGUUCAGAUCGGAGGCUGCAACUCGCCUCCGUGAAGUCGGAGUUGCUAGUAACCGCAGGUCAGCACACUGCGGUGAAUAUGUUCCCGGGCCUUGUACACACCGCCCGU
rnacentral:rRNA from 1 species